rnacentral:lncRNA from 1 species
AGCAUGGGAAGUCAUGCCACCCCUUUCUGUAAGAAUCCCAGCAGCUGCGUGCAUGCCACCAACAUCCUCAGGGCUGGUCUCCGCCCUCACCUACAUAGGAGUAUUUCCAAAGGAAAAAAAUUAUCACUGAAUAAAUACAGAAGAGCUAUUUUUUACAGAGGAUGAAAAGGAUAUUACUUACCAAAAUAGCAGCUUUCCCCUGGGCAUGCCAUGCUUCAGCAUCCUCAGCAGUAAACACAAUCUGGCCCACAGCAGCCCCAGGUGAGGCUGGCAGUCCCGUGGCAAUAACUUUAUCCUUGUAUAACGCUGGGUUCUCAAACUGGUUUUCCAUAAGACAAGAGGAAAAAGGUAUCAAUGCAUGCAUAUCAACUACUUAAUUAAUAUACAAACAUCUAGGACACGUUGAUUUGAUAAGCCGUUCAUGGUUAGUACGAUUGAUUACCUGAGGAUGAAGAAGCUGGUCCAGGUGGCCUGGUUCUACCAUCUUAAUCGCUUGACGGCGCUCAACAAGGCCCUCGCUAACCAUGUCCACAGCAAUCUUUACGGCACCUGCGCCUGUACGUUUUCCUGUUCUGCACUGCAACAUCCACAGCCUGUUCUCCUGAACAGUGAAUUCGAUAUCCUGCAUC